rnacentral:rRNA from 1 species
AGUGAACGCUGGCGGUAGGCCUAACACAUGCAAGUCGAACGGCAGCUCAGUAAGAGCUUGCUCUUACGGGUGGCGAGUGGCGGACGGGUGAGGAAUACAUCGGAAUCUACUUUUUCGUGGGGGAUAACGUAGGGAAACUUACGCUAAUACCGCAUACGACCUACGGGUGAAAGCAGGGGAUCUUCGGACCUUGCGCGAUUGAAUGAGCCGAUGUCGGAUUAGCUAGUUGGCGGGGUAAGGGCCCACCAAGGCGACGAUCCGUAGCUGGUCUGAGAGGAUGAUCAGCCACACUGGAACUGAGACACGGUCCAGACUCCUACGGGAGGCAGCAGUGGGGAAUAUUGGACAAUGGGCGCAAGCCUGAUCCAGCCAUACCGCGUGGGUGAAGAAGGCCUUCGGGUUGUAAAGCCCUUUUGUUGGGAAAGAAAAGCAGCAGGUUAAUACCCCGCUGUUCUGACGGUACCCAAAGAAUAAGCACCGGCUAACUUCGUG